AAUAAGUGUCAUGAGAAAGCAACCAUCACAGUAUUGUGUGAAAUUUUCAAGAAGCACGUAAUACUUACAUUUAAACCGCUUUUAAAAUUAUAUAUUUUGUUUUCAAAUCUUCGAGUGUUGGCCAAUCGCGAUUCUCCAAUUAAAAGAAGACGAUUGACAAAAUUGUGAAAACAGAAGACCCGGAACAGAGGAACACUACUAUACAGUACCAGGUGGGUGCAGUGUCCGAUGGGAGUUGCAUGGCCAUAGGGAAAAUGGAUUCCAAAACUAAAGUUGCAGAUGGAGACGUUGGAAAGCGAAUCCAAAUCAAAAGCAAAUCUUGUUACGACGAAUUUCAACUACUGUGCGGCCGAGUUGAACAAAGACGGCCAGACGAAGGACUCACGCCGGACGAGACUUGCCAGGACUUCAGGGAGAACUGUGGCAAGGGUGGGGAAGGGGGCAUGCUGCAUGUUGCACAAAAAGAAACGCGCCUGGAUAAACACAAUGGGUCGCCCUGGAAAAAGAAAAAGAAUGGAAAGGGGGUGGGAUCACUAAUUUACUUAAAGGCAGCCGCGCCGAAACUGCAAACAAAUGACAUUUAAAGUGCAGUGAAAAGUCGCUAACUAGCACGCCACGACGACAAGACGACGAAGGACAUCAGACGAAAGGACGAGAGGGCAAG